CUCUGUACAUUGUAUGUGUCUGAGUUCUGUCUUCUCCCAUGCUUCGUGCAAGAUGGUGCAGCAUUUUUGACACGUCCUUACCAAACUUGUGUUUAUAGUAAAAUACUGUUAUUAUUACAACAUUCAGUUAAAGAUCCAAGAAGCAGAGAUGUUUGUAUGUGCUGUGGCCAUCAAUGUUGGGAACAACGCAACCAUACUGCUCCUGUUCGGACCCGCUCACCACCCCAACAUACUCUGCAGCACAACUCCGAAAUAAGUUUUUUUAGACAAACAACUGAGACAUCCUUGAACAGCUAUACACAAGGACCCAGUCCAACCACCAACCGAAAGCCACAUAGAACAACUCAGGACAGCCAACAAACAUCUUCAUGACCUGAGACCCAGAAGCUUAACUGACUUCUUCAACCCACCCACCAAACCAAAACUAAUCCCACCAACCCAACCAACAAACCAAAUCUA
rnacentral:lncRNA from 1 species